rnacentral:lncRNA from 13 species
CUAGAUUGAAGGGACUACAAACCAUAUGAGCCAAUUUUUAUGCCAUUCUAGAAAAAGGCGGAACUCUAAGAAUGAAGAACAGCUCUAUGGUUGCUAGGAGUGAAGAAUGGGGGGACUGAUCAACUUCAAAGAAGCCACACAAGGAAAUGUCUGGAGCUGAUGGUGCUGAACUGACCGAUGAGGCAAUCGCUAUCACCACGUCUAAAGGGCACGGAAAUACAGCCAGGCAGAGUCAAGAUGUGCUGUAAAUAGAAACUACAGUCAGAUUUCAAAGACUGAAACCAAAAAGUGCAUUUUGUUUCACUAAUAAUUUGUGUAUUGACUCUGUUGAAAUGAUAAUAUUUUGGGAAUAUUGGCUGAAU